UGUAAAAGCGGCUAUCCAGCGCUAGACUUCACUUCCUGGAGGUCUUUGAAAAUUUUCCCGCACAAACUCUUCUCUUCUAUGAGUUUGGCUGAAAUUCCCUUACAGAAUCAACCUUGUCUGAAUCUUUGAGGUAUUAGUUGACCUUGAAUUAGGGUUCAGAAUGCGGGAGCUGAGUUGGAGACAUCACACUCUCAUUCAAGCGCUUCUCGCUCGCGGCCCUCUCAGAGAGGAUCACUUCCAUUUGCUGUUUACGCGGAUCACUGAAAAGAGUCCAGAUAAUGACCGGCAGCUUUUUAAUAAUUACCUCCUGACGAUGAACAAAGCACUUUCUUUUGCUCAAUUUGAGUUGCGAGGCUGCAGAAACCAAUAUGAUGGUCGUGUUUACUAUGGCUUGGUCAAUAAUGUAUCCGAUGAACAAUCCAAGCUGGGAACAAAGUAUUCAGUUCCACAGAUUGCCUUUUAUAAAGCCAUUGUUGAAGCAAUUGCACAAGAUCCAUCUGCUCAAGGUGGAAUAUCCAACAUUGCUGCUCUUCAUCUGCAGUUGGAAAAUCAGCUGGGGGAUGCAGGGUCCCAGUCCCAUGUCAUACCACCUGCUUUCAAGAAUUUCUCAAUAUCUCUCAAGGAAAAAACAAUCGCCGAGCUUGCUCAGGAUCAGUGGCUUAAUUGCACCCCUGAUGGUUUUGUAAAUUUGGGUGUCAGAUCAUUUCUUGAUUUGCGAAGUUGGUUCCGCACUAAUGACAUACCUUCAUGUGAAGUGUGCAAUGAAGCUGGAGUGAAGGCAGAGUUGUGUAGUAAUGAAGGCUGCACUGUUCGUGUACAUCGGUAUUGCCUUAAGAAAAUGUUAUCCAAUAAAAAGAGUAAAAGGGCUUGCCCAAGUUGUGGCACUCAAUGGCGAUCUACAGCACCCAAUGUGGAGUUCAAGGAGGAAGAGGAUGAGCCAGAUGCGCGCAUUCAAGGCCAGUCAUCAUCACAUAAGAGGAAGAAAACCAGAUUGAACAGAGAUAUUGAUUCAGGACCAAAUGGAGACAGUGUGGCUGCGGCACAAGCUUCCCAACCUCCUCCAGAUACGAGGAGAAUAACGCGAAGUUCUGCACACCAGCGGUAGGUGCUUGAAAUGAGAAUCGGAAUGUAAAGUGCAUUACACAGCGUAAGCCAAAAGUAUUAUGCUUUUCGGUGGUGUAUUGAUGAACAGUUAAACAUGUAUGAUGGGUCUGGAUUGUGUACAAAGGUAUGCAGCUCAAUGCUGAAAAUUUGACCGUUCAUAUUUACCAUGCUUAGAUUUAAGGAUGAAUAUAUCCACUCUAGAGAAGGAAGUCAUAAUUAAGCCGUUUAAAUAGUGAGAACAAAUUAGAGCACUCUGGAGAAGUCAUCAUAGCAGUGACAUGAGAUAAAAGUGGUGUCUUUGAACUGUUGAGAAUAGAAUCGAUUAUGAAACUUUAGAUGGUGGGAAAGUGAAGCAAUGAAAAGAAUAUGGCUAAAUGUUUGUCUUUUUAUAUAAUUAAAUUAUCUGAAUUCAUUACAAAAAUGUCCCUUUAUGAAGCUGACUUGGCUGUG